rnacentral:lncRNA from 1 species
CCACGGCCAGGUGCUCAAGCAGGCUCAGCCUUGUAGAGACCCAAGAAUAUCCCAUUCUCACCUUCUGCUGCCUCUGUGGCUGUCCUGACUACGACUCCAGCUUCUGAGGGAGUCCACACUUGCAGAGCAUCAGUGCUCUGUCAUGCAGAGGGGGCCACAGGUCUCACAGAGCAAGUGCCUAUGAGAGUGGACACCCUGCAGCACUGGACAGAAGUGUGCUGUGGCUCAGGGUAGUCCUGGACCAUCAGCAGCUACAGUCCCAGAGGAGCCUCCUGCUGUACACUUGUCUUCCUUGGUGCAAAGAUCCCAGACUUUGGGGUUAA